AGAGCGAACGCUGGCGGCAGGCUUAACACAUGCAAGUCGAGCGGGCGUAGCAAUACGUCAGCGGCAGACGGGUGAGUAACGCGUGGGAACGUACCUUUUGGUUCGGAACAACACAGGGAAACUUGUGCUAAUACCGGAUAAGCCCUUACGGGGAAAGAUUUAUCGCCGAAAGAUCGGCCCGCGUCUGAUUAGCUAGUUGGUGAGGUAACGGCUCACCAAGGCGACGAUCAGUAGCUGGUCUGAGAGGAUGAUCAGCCACAUUGGGACUGAGACACGGCCCAAACUCCUACGGGAGGCAGCAGUGGGGAAUAUUGGACAAUGGGCGCAAGCCUGAUCCAGCCAUGCCGCGUGAGUGAUGAAGGCCCUAGGGUUGUAAAGCUCUUUGUGCGGGAAGAUAAUGACGGUACCUGACAGAAAAGCCCGGACUAACUUCGUGCCAGCAGCCGC
rnacentral:rRNA from 1 species